rnacentral:lncRNA from 1 species
CCUUUUUCUGAAACAAUAGCAUUACACCACAACAUAGAAAAACACACAUUAAAAUAUCAAUUGGCAGGCUUAACUCAAUCAAAAAACGUACAUUAAUAUACUAUAAACGAAUAAAUUCGAUCUGCGAUAUCUGAAUGCAAAUGCACAGUUAAUAAAAUAUUAGGGACAAACAUUCAAGGCCAAAAAGCAAACAAACAAGUCCAAACAAAGCCAUGGCAAGUCACCAC